UGAUUGAUUUAAUCCCGUUUAAAUUAAUUAAAUGAUCUAUAAGGGGCAACUUUGCCAUUUUAAAAUUGUUUGUGCUCCUUUGAGUUAACCUGAACCGUCGAUUCGAAUUUAAUCAAAGUUUUAGAUGCAUUAUCCUCACUUUCUCUUAUUAACCAAUCAUAAAUUAGCAUAUUAUUUUAGUUCUUUAAUAAAUAAAAUCAAAAAAAUAUUAAACAAAAUCUCCUCCUCCAUUGGCCAAGACCCACAUGGCCUUGUUUCUAUCCCCAUGAAUAAGAAUGACCCCCAACAGAUAUAUGGUCUUCCAUCCACUGCCAUAUCACGACAAGAAGGGACAGCUGAAAAAAAACUGUAAGAAAAAGAAAAAGAGAAAAAGAUGAAAAAGAACAAAAAAGAAAAGGGAGAUUCCUCUCUCAACAAAAAGAAAAUCUCCACUAACCCUCUCGAUGGACUAACAACUUUUUCCUACACUUGAUACAUAUACUUCUUUCUCCUCACCCACCACCAAGGGAUGCCAACGACUUUUCCUCUCUCUCACAGUAAACCAUCAGUUC
rnacentral:lncRNA from 1 species